CCCUUAGAUGUCCUGGGCCGCACGCGCGCUACACUGAGUGUCUGAGAUACGAGUCUGCCUGGUCCGGCAAGGUCUAGGUAAUCGCUAAAAGACACAUCAUGCUUGGGAUAGAUUAUUGCAAAUAUUAAUCUUGAACGAGGAAUUCCUAGUAAGCGCAAGUCAACAGCUUGCGUUGAUUACGUCCCUGCCCUUUGUACACACCGCCCGUCGCUCCUACCGAUUGAAUGAUCCGAUGAAUAUCAUGGAUUGAGAGUACGAACAGGUUCGCUUGUUUCUGCUCCUCGAGAAGUGAAGUAAAUCUUAUCAUUUAGAGGAAGGAGAAGUCGUAACA
rnacentral:rRNA from 1 species